rnacentral:rRNA from 1 species
UGGGGAAUAUUGGACAAUGGGGGGAACCCUGAUCCAGCCAUGCCGCGUGAGUGAAGAAGGCCUUAUGGAUGUAAAGCACUUUAAGCGAGGAGGAGGGUACUGGUAUUAAUACUACCAGGUACUGGACGUUACUCGCAGAAUAAGCACCGGCUAACUCUGUGCCAGCAGCCGCGGUAAUACAGAGGGUGCGAGCGUUAAUCGGAUUUACUGGGCGUAAAGCGUGCGUAGGCGGCUAAUUGAGUCGGAUGUGAAAUCCCCGAGCUUAACUUGGGAAUUGCAUUCGAUACUGGUUAGCUAGAGUGUGGGAGAGGAUGGUAGAAUUCCAGGUGUGGCGGUGAAAUGCGUAGAGAUCUGGAGGAAUACCGAUGGCGAGGGCAGGCAUCUGGCCUAACACUGACGCUGAGGUACGAAAGCAUGGGGAGCAAACAGG